rnacentral:lncRNA from 1 species
GGGAUGGAAGCCUGGGUGCCUGAAUGACUGUGUGGAUUAGUGUUCUUCCCUCAUCCUGAAAAUAUGGGUUGCAAAAACUUGGUGAACUCAUUACAAGUAGACCUGUUCUAUGGAAAAAAAUGUUAAAGUUCUUCAGACAGAAUAUAAUACCAGAUUAAAGAAUCUUGGACCUACUUGAAGAAAUGAAGAGCACUGGAAAUGGCAUUAAUGAAGGGACAUAGAUGAAUCUGGAAACCAUCUUUCUCAGCAAACUGACACAAGAACAGAAGACCAAACACCACAUGUUCUUGCUCAUAGGGAAAUCUCAAGCAGUUUCAUCCAGCAAAUAUACAAGCCUUUUGUGCCUUGAACCCCAAUGCGUAAAGACAUUCACAAACAUCCUGGAAUUGGUGCUGGCUUUCAGCCGGCCUUGUCCUUUCACCAGUUUUAAGAGUUAGGUGAUGCGCCACAUUGUUCUGAGGCAAAGGUUAUCUUCCCUGCCUGGGAUUCCAUCCAGAAACAAAUAAAAAACCAAGGAACCUGC